AUUGAACGCUGGCGGCAUGCCUUACACAUGCAAGUCGAGCGGCAGCGGGGAGGUGCUUGCUUCUCUGCCGGCGAGUGGCGAACGGGAGGCCUAUACAUCUGCCCGUGUCGGGGGGAGGGCGUUAACAACCGGACGCGGAUGCUGAUUACGCAUAGAGUCUGAAGGAGAAGGCUGUUGGGCCAGCAAGAGGCCUGACGCGUUUUGGUCGGCCUAGGUCGGAUUAGCUAGUUGGUGCGGUAAAGGCUCACCAAGGCGACGAUCUGUAGCGGGUCUGAGAGGAUGAUCCGCCACACUGGAACUGAGACACGGCCCAGACUCCUACGGGAGGCAGCAGUGGGGAAUAUUGGACAAUGGGCGCAACCCUGAUCCAGCCAUGCCGCGUGUAUGAAGAAGGCCUUAGGAUUGUAAAGUACUUUUGUUAGGGAAGAAGAGCCAGAUGUUAAUAAUUGCUGGUAUUGACGGUACCUAAAGAAUAAGCACCGGCUAACUACGUG
rnacentral:rRNA from 1 species